rnacentral:rRNA from 1 species
AUACGGAGGAUCCAAGCGUUAUCCGGAUUUAUUGGGUUUAAAGGGUGCGCAGGCGGCCUUAUAAGUCAGUGGUGAAAUCUCCCGGCUCAACCGGGAAACUGCCAUUGAUACUGUAGGGCUAGAAUACAGACGAGGUAGGCGGAAUGUAGCAUGUAGCGGUGAAAUGCUUAGAUAUGCUACAGAACACCGAUCGCGAAGGCAGCUUACCAGACUGUAAUUGACGCUAAGGCACGAAAGCGUGGGGAGCGAACAGGAUUAGAAACCCCAGUAGUCC